AAACAAAACUAUUACAUCUAUAUCUUUUCGUUAUCUUAUGGUGAAAAGGUUAUUGAAGCAAAAUUUGUUAAGUUGUUGAAAAGCAUUUUGGUUUAGAUCUUUGAGAAGCUAAGAACAGUUAAUUAAGUUUUCAUAUUAUAAAAGAAAAUGAAAUUUUUCACUAUAUUUUUCUUGGUCAUUUUUGCUUUAUUAGCAUUAGUUAACGGACAAUUUUUGGAUUAUGGCCCAAAUCCAUCUGCGAUUAAACCGAAACAACCCAAGCAAAAUUGUCGCUGGGUAUGCGAUUCAUAAUUAAAAGAAUUUCUUGUAAACAAAUUAAUUAAACAAUUAAAAUAAACGGAAAUGUAACAAAAUUUA